rnacentral:rRNA from 1 species
GACGUAGGGCGCGAGCGUUGUCCGGAUUUAUUGGGCGUAAAGAGCUCGUAGGCGGUUUGUCGCGUCGUCUGUGAAAACCCACGGCUCAACUGUGGGCUUGCAGUCGAUACGGGCAGGCUAGAGUUCGGUAGGGGAGACUGGAAUUCCUGGUGUAGCGGUGAAAUGCGCAGAUAUCAGGAGGAACACCGGUGGCGAAGGCGGGUCUCUGGGCCGAUAUCGACGCUGAGGAGCGAAAGCGUGGGGAGCGAACAGG